rnacentral:tRNA from 1 species
CCCCUGGUGGUCCAGUGGUUAGGAUUUGGUGCUUUCAACACUGGGUCCCAGGUUCAAUCCUUGGUUGGGGAA